rnacentral:lncRNA from 1 species
UUGAUCCUUCUUAGUACAUCUAGGUAGAGAAUUUCUUUUUGUAUUUCUCAAGGCCUUUCCACCCUUAAGAUGUAAAUUUUUCUCCUGAAUAUAUUUGAUACCAUUCAUUUUUGCUCUAAUCCAACUUUGAAAAUUUUCCUUCAGGUGUCCAUCUCUUCCACAGUGAGUGCACAAGGGUUUAUGGACUUUGUUUUUGACAUCUUGAACAACCUUGUCUUGUGACCCAG